UCCCUGCUGCGACCUUCUUCACCCCCGGCGACACCUCUUUCAGCGACCAGCGAUCAGCCCCGAUGCCCUCAAUCGUGCUCUCUCGUCGUCUUCUCUUUCUCUCUGAUUCCCCACUAUAACUUGGUGAUUCCCGGCGUUGUCCCAUUUCUCUCUCUCUCUUUCUCUCUUUGUUGUCUCUGCUCAUCUUGCAUCGCACUUCACUGUCCUCGUCGUCUGCUACUCUUCAGUCACUCAUCGCCGUCUUGUUGGUCACCCCUGUCUCCUCCCCAAAUCACCUCUAAGUUCGUUACCCUUUGCGCUGUUUUGUAUUGGCAUUCUCCAGUCAAGAGCUUGGCGUUCAAGCACCACUUCUACAAUGGUUUCAGUGAUCAACAAGGGCAUGGCUACAAGAGCAAUUAAAGAAGGGACCAACUCCACUAGAAGCUGGAGGCCAAGUGAUAUUUCCUUUGCUUCCGUUUUCCAUAUUUAUUAAGAUUGCUUUUAACGGAACAAAUGUACACGAGUUUCCUUUGUAUAUUUGCUAGUUUUGGGUGCGUACUUUUUUAAUUAUUUAUUUGCUAACUCUUCAAUUGAAAUUCUGUAUUGGUUGCUAUAUAUAAUGUAGUAGGGUAUAUUGUAC